UACGGGGGGGGCUAGCCUUGUUCGGAAUUACUGGGCGUAAAGGGCUCGUAGGCGGCCAACUAAGUCGGAUGUGAAAUCCCCAGGCUUAACCUGGGAACUGCAUCCGAUACUGGAUGGCUUGAAUCCGGGAGAGGGAUGCAGAAUUCCAGGUGUAGCGGUGAAAUGCGUAGAUAUCUGGAGGAAUACCGGUGGCGAAGGCGGCAUCCUGGACCGGCAUUGACGCUGAGGAGCGAAAGCUAGGGGAGCAAACGGG
rnacentral:rRNA from 1 species